UUAUAAGUCAGUGGUGAAAUCUCCCCGCUCAACGGGGAAACGGCCAUUGAUACUGUAGGACUUGAAUUAUUAGGAAGUAACUAGAAUAUGUAGUGUAGCGGUGAAAUGCUUAGAGAUUACAUGGAAUACCAAUUGCGAAGGCAGGUUACUACUAAUUGAUUGACGCUGAUGGACGAAAGCGUGGGUAGCGAACAGGAUUAGAUACCCUGGUAGUCCACGCCGUAAACGAUGGAUACUAGCUGUUGGGGGCAACUUCAGUGGCUAAGCGAAAGUGAUAAGUAUCCCACCUGGGGAGUACGUUCGCAAGAAUGAAACUCAAAGGAAUUGACGGGGGCCCGCACAAGCGGUGGAGCAUGUGGUUUAAUUCGAUGAUACGCGAGGAACCUUACCAAGGCUUAAAUGUAGUUUGACCGAUUUGGAAACAGAUCUUUCGCAAGACAAAUUACAAGGUGCUGCAUGGUUGUCGUCAGCUCGUGCCGUGAGGUGUCAGGUUAAGUCCUAUAACGAGCGCAACCCCUGUUGUUAGUUGCCAGCGAGUCAUGUCGGGAACUCUAACAAGACUGCCAGUGCAAACUGUGAGGAAGGUGGGGAUGACGUCAAAUCAUCACGGCCCUUACGCCUUGGGCUACACACGUGCUACAAUGGCCGGUACAGAGAGCAGCCACUUCGUGAGGAGGAGCGAAUCUAUAAAACCGGUCACAGUUCGGAUCGGAGUCUGCAACUCGACUCCGUGAAGCUGGAA
rnacentral:rRNA from 1 species